UACGUAGGGGGCGAGCGUUGUCCGGAGUUACUGGGCGUAAAGGGCAUGCAGGCGGUCGGACGCGUUUUGUGUGGCAGCGGGUGGCUCAACUGCCCGAGCAUACGAAAGACGGUUUGACUUGAGGGCUCGAGAGGGACACGGAAUUCCGGGUGGAGUGGUGAAAUGCGUAGAGAUCCGGAGGAACACCGAAGGCGAAGGCAGUGUCCUGGCGAGUGACUGACGCUGAGGUGCGAAAGCCAGGGGAGCGAACGGG
rnacentral:rRNA from 1 species